rnacentral:misc_RNA from 1 species
GUCUUGACGAAACUGUGAGGUUAUGGGACCCGAGUAACUUCGCUUGUGUUCAAACUUUCACCGGUCAUUGUCUCGGCGUUGUAUCUGUUGCUACACAUCCUACUCGUAGAAUUGCUGCAUCUGCUUCUAUAGAUAGCUUUAUUAGAGUUUUUGAGGUUGAUACUAAUAACACUAUUGCUACUCUCGAAGCUCCUCCUUCUGAAGUCUGGCAAUUGCAAUUU